AGAAUCAACGCUGGCGGCGUGCCUAACACAUGCAAGUCGAACGAGAAAGUGGAGCAAUCCAUGAGUAAAGUGGCGACCGGGUGAGUAACACGUGACUAACCUACCUUCGAGUGGGGGAUAACCUCGGGAAACCGGGGCUAAUACCGCAUAAAAUCUUUGGAUCGGAAGAACUGGAGAUCAAUGGAGCAAUUCGCUUGAAGAGGGGGUCGCGGCUGAUUAGCUAGUUGGCGGGGUAAUGGCCCACCAAGGCUUUGAUCGGUAGCCGGCCUGAGAGGGCGCACGGCCACACUGGAACUGAAACACGGUCCAGACUCCUACGGGAGGCAGCAGUGGGGAAUUUUGCGCAAUGGGGGAAACCCUGACGCAGCAACGCCGCGUGGAGGAUGAAGUCCCUUGGGACGUAAACUCCUUUCGACCCGGACGAUAAUGACGGUACGGGUGGAAGAGCCCGGCUAACUUCGUGCCAGCAGCCGC
rnacentral:rRNA from 1 species